GACGAACGCUGGCGGCGUGCUUAACACAUGCAAGUCGAACGGAAAGGCCCUGCUUUUGUGGGGUGCUCGAGUGGCGAACGGGUGAGUAACACGUGAGUAACCUGCCCUUGACUUUGGGAUAACUUCAGGAAACUGGUGCUAAUACUGGAUAUGUGCUCCUGCUGCAUGGUGGGGGUUGGAAAGCUCCGGCGGUUGUGGAUGGACUCGCGGCCUAUCAGCUUGUUGGUGGGGUAGUGGCCUACCAAGGCGGCGACGGGUAGCCGGCCUGAGAGGGUGACCGGCCACAUUGGGACUGAGAUACGGCCCAGACUCCUACGGGAGGCAGCAGUGGGGAAUAUUGCACAAUGGGCGCAAGCCUGAUGCAGCAACGCCGCGUGCGGGAUGACGGCCUUCGGGUUGUAAACCGCUUUCAGCAGGGACGAAGCUUUUUGUGACGGUACCUGCAGAAGAAGCACCGGCUAACUACGUG
rnacentral:rRNA from 1 species